rnacentral:rRNA from 1 species
GGCCAGCAGCCGCGGUAAUACGUAGGGGGUUAGCGUUGUCCGGAUUUACUGGGUGUAAAGGGCGCGUAGGCGGGUCUGUAAGUCAGAGGUGAAAUCCUACAGCUUAACUGUAGAGCUGCCUUUGAUACUGCGGAUCUUGAGUUCAGAAGAGAGAGAUGGAAUUCCAGGUGUAGUGGUGAAAUACGUAGAUAUCUGGAAGAACACCAGUGGCGAAGGCGAUCUCUUGGUCUGACACUGACGCUGAGGCGCGAAAGCGUGGGUAGCAAACAGGAUUAGAUACCCUGGUAGUCCACGCUGUAAACGAUGAAUACUAGAUGUUGGGCAGAAAUGUUCAGUGUCGCAGCUAACGCAUUAAGUAUUCCACCUGGGGAGUACGAUCGCAAGGUUGAAACUCAAAGGAAUUGACGGGGGCCCGCACA